rnacentral:rRNA from 1 species
AGUGAACGCUGGCGGUAGGCCUAACACAUGCAAGUCGAACGGCAGCACAGUAAGAGCUUGCUCUUACGGGUGGCGAGUGGCGGACGGGUGAGGAAUACAUCGGAAUCUACUUUUUCGUGGGGGAUAACGUAGGGAAACUUACGCUAAUACCGCAUACGACCUACGGGUGAAAGCAGGGGAUCUUCGGGCCUUGCGCGAUUGAAUGAGCCGAUGUCGGAUUAGCUAGUUGGCGGGGUAAAGCCCCACCAAGGCGACGAUCCGUAGCUGGUCUGAGAGGAUGAUCAGCCACACUGGAACUGAGACACGGUCCAGACUCCUACGGGAGGCAGCAGUGGGGAAUAUUGGACAAUGGGCGCAAGCCUGAUCCAGCCAUACCGCGUGGGUGAAGAAGGCCUUCGGGUUGUAAAGCCCUUUUGUUGGGAAAGAAAAGCAGCAGGUUAAUACCCCGCUGUUCUGACGGUACCCAAAGAAUAAGCACCGGCUAACUUCGUG